GCCCUCCUAGCUCAAUCGGAAGAGCGUGGGACUUUUAUGCAUCGAAACAGAGCUUCGGCCCUGUUGUCAUAGCUAUCCCAAGGUCGGGAGUUCGAGCCUCCCGGAGGGCG